GGGAAGAUAGCGGUUCUUAGGGUGCGCGCGCGGUGUGAUGUUCCUAUAAGUGCCUGGAAGCUGCAGCCCCUGGUCCGAGGCUUCCAGCAGGUUUGCGAUGUCUAAGAACAGGGGAGACCAGUCUGCAAAGUUGGAGAGCCCGUGGCUCAUCCGCUGCUGAGCCCUCUGCGUGCGCGGGAAGCCAGUCUGUACCUCGGCGGCUGCCACUGACCAUGACCAUGACCCUUCACACCAAAGCCUCGGGAAUGGCCUUGUUGCACCAGAUCCAAGGGAACGAGCUGGAGCCCCUCAAUCGCCCGCAGCUCAAGAUGCCCAUGGAGAGGGCUCUGGGCGAGGUGUACGUGGACAACAGCAAGCCCGCCGUGUUCAACUACCCCGAGGGCGCCGCCUACGAGUUCAACGCCGCCGCCGCCGCCGCGGCCGC
rnacentral:lncRNA from 1 species